GCCCACCAGGAGCGUCGGGCUCGCCUGAGUUGGGGCUGCUGCCCCGCAUCCCGGAGGCGGCGGGACGGACGGUGGGCUCACCCCAGGACAGGAUGUGCUGGAGGCGGGCAGCUCUCUUCCCCGACAGGGACCGUGUGGGGAGGGUCGAGGGGACCCGGGCCCAGGCCCUCCUCCUCCCCCCACGUCCGUGACGUCACAGCCCAACAGGCUGGGAGCUCAGAAGACAGAUGAUCAGUAAUUCCAAGGUUGUUUGCUUCUCCCACCGACACGGCCCAGAGCGCCUGCACACCCCCUUCUUUGUGCUGGGAAGAGGCAUGCACCCUGAUGCUGGAAAUAAGGCAGGAAGCUGGGAGCACCUUAGCUUGCCAGAAAUCUCCAGUUGUGCCCAGACGCCGUGCUGUCCCAGCCCCACGAUGGGCGGGUUCUGCAGCCUGACACCUUGAUGGUCUAUCUCGUAUUCCACACCCUCUCCAGGCUCGCGUGGGCUCUGAAACCUGAACAAGUGUUCAUUGCUUCCCCUA